AGAUUAAGUUAUUAAGGGCGCACGGUGGAUGCCUUGGCACUAGAAGCCGAUGAAGGACGUUACUAACGACGAUAUGCUUUGGGGAGCUGUAAGUAAGCUUUGAUCCAGAGAUUUCCGAAUGGGGAAACCCAGCAUGAGUUAUGUCAUGUUAUCGAUAUGUGAAUACAUAGCAUAUCAGAAGGCACACCCGGAGAACUGAAACAUCUUAGUACCCGGAGGAAGAGAAAGAAAAUUCGAUUCCCUUAGUAGCGGCGAGCGAAACGGGAAGAGCCCAAACCAACAAGCUUGCUUGUUGGGGUUGUAGGACACUCUAUACGGAGUUACAAAGGACGACAUUAGACGAAUCAUCUGGAAAGAUGAAUCAAAGAAGGUAAUAAUCCUGUAGUCGAAAAUGUUGUCUCUCUUGAGUGGAUCCUGAGUACGACGGAGCACGUGAAAUUCCGUCGGAAUCUGGGAGGACCAUCUCCUAAGGCUAAAUACUCUCUAGUGACCGAUAGUGAACCAGUACCGUGAGGGAAAGGUGAAAAGCACCCCGGAAGGGGAGUGAAAUAGAACCUGAAACCGUGUGCUUACAAGUAGUCAGAGCCCGUUAAUGGGUGAUGGCGUGCCUUUUGUAGAAUGAACCGGCGAGUUACGAUUUGAUGCAAGGUUAAGCAGUAAAUGUGGAGCCGUAGCGAAAGCGAGUCUGAAUAGGGCGUUUAGUAUUUGGUCGUAGACCCGAAACCAGGUGAUCUACCCUUGGUCAGGUUGAAGUUCAGGUAACACUGAAUGGAGGACCGAACCGACUUACGUUGAAAAGUGAGCGGAUGAACUGAGGGUAGCGGAGAAAUUCCAAUCGAACCUGGAGAUAGCUGGUUCUCUCCGAAAUAGCUUUAGGGCUAGCCUCAAGUGAUGAUUAUUGGAGGUAGAGCACUGUUUGGACGAGGGGCCCCUCUCGGGUUACCGAAUUCAGACAAACUCCGAAUGCCAAUUAAUUUAACUUGGGAGUCAGAACAUGGGUGAUAAGGUCCGUGUUCGAAAGGGAAACAGCCCAGACCACCAGCUAAGGUCCCAAAAUAUAUGUUAAGUGGAAAAGGAUGUGGCGUUGCCCAGACAACUAGGAUGUUGGCUUAGAAGCAGCCAUCAUUUAAAGAGUGCGUAAUAGCUCACUAGUCGAGUGACACUGCGCCGAAAAUGUACCGGGGCUAAACAUAUUACCGAAGCUGUGGAUUGUCCUUUGGACAAUGGUAGGAGAGCGUUCUAAGGGCGUUGAAGCAUGAUCGUAAGGACAUGUGGAGCGCUUAGAAGUGAGAAUGCCGGUGUGAGUAGCGAAAGACGGGUGAGAAUCCCGUCCACCGAUUGACUAAGGUUUCCAGAGGAAGGCUCGUCCGCUCUGGGUUAGUCGGGUCCUAAGCUGAGGCCGACAGGCGUAGGCGAUGGAUAACAGGUUGAUAUUCCUGUACCACCUAUAAUCGUUUUAAUCGAUGGGGGGACGCAGUAGGAUAGGCGAAGCGUGCGAUUGGAUUGCACGUCUAAGCAGUAAGGCUGAGUAUUAGGCAAAUCCGGUACUCGUUAAGGCUGAGCUGUGAUGGGGAGAAGACAUUGUGUCUUCGAGUCGUUGAUUUCACACUGCCGAGAAAAGCCUCUAGAUAGAAAAUAGGUGCCCGUACCGCAAACCGACACAGGUAGUCAAGAUGAGAAUUCUAAGGUGAGCGAGCGAACUCUCGUUAAGGAACUCGGCAAAAUGACCCCGUAACUUCGGGAGAAGGGGUGCUCUUUAGGGUUAACGCCCAGAAGAGCCGCAGUGAAUAGGCCCAAGCGACUGUUUAUCAAAAACACAGGUCUCUGCUAAACCGUAAGGUGAUGUAU
rnacentral:rRNA from 1 species